GAUGAACGCUGGCGGCGUGCCUAAUACAUGCAAGUCGAGCGAACAGACGAGGAGCUUGCUCCUCUGACGUUAGCGGCGGACGGGUGAGUAACAUGUGGAUAACCUACCUAUAAGACUGGGAUAACUUCGGGAAACCGGAGCUAAUACCGGAUAAUAUAUUGAACCGCAUGGUUCAAUAGUGAAAGACGGUUUUGCUGUCACUUAUAGAUGGAUCCGCGCCGCAUUAGCUAGUUGGUAAGGUAACGGCUUACCAAGGCAACGAUGCGUAGCCGACCUGAGAGGGGGAUCGGCCACACUGGAACUGAGACACGGUCCAGACUCCUACGGGAGGCAGCAGUAGGGAAUCUUCCGCAAUGGGCGAAAGCCUGACGGAGCAACGCCGCGUGAGUGAUGAAGGUCUUCGGAUCGUAAAACUCUGUUAUUAGGGAAGAACAAAUGUGUAAGUAACUAUGCACGUCUUGACGGUACCUAAUCAGAAAGCCACGGCUAACUACGUG
rnacentral:rRNA from 1 species